UACGUAGGGGUCUAGCGUUGUCCGGAAUUAUUGGGCGUAAAGAGCUCGUAGGCGGUCUGUCGCGUCUGCUGUGAAAACUCAGGGCUUAACCCUGAGCUUGCAGUGGGUACGGGCAGACUAGAGUGCGGUAGGGGAGACUGGAAUUCCGUGGUGUAGCGGUGAAAUGCGCAGAUAUCAGGAGGAACACCGGUGGCGAAGGCGGGUCUCUGGGCCGUAACUGGACGCUGGAGGAGCGAAAGCAUGGGGAGCGAACAGG
rnacentral:rRNA from 1 species